UGGGGAAUUUUGGACAAUGGGGGAAACCCUGAUCCAGCCAUCCCGCGUGUGCGAUGAAGGCCUUCGGGUUGUAAAGCACUUUUGGCAGGAAAGAAACGUCGCGGGUUAAUACCCCGCGAAACUGACGGUACCUGCAGAAUAAGCACCGGCUAACUACGUGCCGGCAGCCGCGGUAAUACGUAGGGUGCAAGCGUUAAUCGGAAUUACUGGGCGUAAAGCGUGCGCAGGCGGUUCGGAAAGAAAGAUGUGAAAUCCCAGAGCUUAACUUUGGAACUGCAUUUUUAACUACCGGGCUAGAGUGUGUCAGAGGGAGGUGGAAUUCCGCGUGUAGCAGUGAAAUGCGUAGAUAUGCGGAGGAACACCGAUGGCGAAGGCAGCCUCCUGGGAUAACACUGACGCUCAUGCACGAAAGCGUGGGGAGCAAACAGGAUUAGAUACCCUGGUAGUCCACGCCCUAAACGAUGCCAACUAGCUGUUGGGGCCUUCGGGCCUUGGUAGCGCAGCUAACGCGUGAAGUUGACCG
rnacentral:rRNA from 1 species